ACAGUCCGCACCGCUGCACGUGACCGAUGAGGAUUGGCGGAUACUCUGCGAUAGGUUUUCGUCUGAUUCUUUUCAGGUAAUAUUUACAUAUUUAUGAUAUCUUAACGUAAUAAUUAAAUUCUCAAUUAAUAACAAUGUAUUAUGAAUAACGUGUUCAGAAGAGGAGCAAAAUAAAUUCUGACAAUAGAGGAAAGUUAGAAGUGAACCACGUAGCUGGUUCAAAGUCAUUUGUACGACUUCGUCACGACAUGCGAGAUUCCGUCACUGGCCAGGAGCUCGGACCAGUAGACUUCUACAAAGGGACUCACUGUCGGCAGACGAUAGGAUCUUGGGUACAUCCUAGAGCCAGCGAGAUUUGGGUAAAGAUCCUUACAUUGUAAAAUUUAUUUGCAUUAAAUUAUAAUAAUGUCAUUUAUUAUGAAAAUUCAUAUGUUUUCAUUACAAGAGGAGAUGAACACCUUACGCAGUCAGCCCACUCCCGAUGGCACUCAGUGGAGUGAGCCAGAGAUCCUGAGUCAGGUGCUUGGCACCCGUUCUGGAUAUGUGCGUGGGUUUGGCCAUGGUGCCAAGCUCAUGGCACCUGCUAGAGCUGCCUCCAGCCGAUCCAUCGUCGUUGGCGACAGCGCCGUACGCCGAGCUGAUACUGUAGAGAGAGAGGUUCAGCAGCUACGGGUCGUCGUCGAUGACAUCAAAGAUCAGCUAGACAGACAGAGGGAGGAGCAGAGGAGGAUGGAGGAGAUGCGGGUGGAGCAUGAGCGACGGAUGAUGGAGAUGUUUCAGGUUAUCGCUGCACGCUUAUCCACCGAUGCCCUAGCGCCUCCGCC